AUGCCCAUUUUCUUCACAUUGAUGAUUUUGGGAGGGUUGAAGCAUCCAUCCAUUUGUGCUGCCCUUGGAGUACUUUACACUGUUGCUAGAUAUUUCUACUUCAAAGGCUAUUCCUCCGGCGAACCCAAGAACCGUCUUAAACUCGGGGGAUUGUUUAUGCCGGCAAUAUUGGGGCUUAUGUUGUGUACGCUUUCAUUUGGAUGGAGUCUUCUCAAUCAGCCUGCUGCUAGCCACUGA